rnacentral:tRNA from 1 species
UUGAUAGAAGCCAAAAAGAGGCAUAUCACUGUUAAUGAUAUAAUUGAAUUAUUCCCUUCCUAUCAAU